rnacentral:rRNA from 1 species
UACAGAGGUCUCAAGCGUUGUUCGGAUUCAUUGGGCGUAAAGGGUGCGUAGGCGGCGCGGUAAGUCGGGUGUGAAAUCUUGGAGCUUAACUCCGAAACUGCAUUCGAUACUGCCGUGCUUGGGGACUGGAGAGGAGACUGGAAUUUACGGUGUAGCGGUGAAAUGCGUAGAUAUCGUAAGGAAGACCAGUGGCGAAGGCGGGUCUCUGGACAGUUCCUGACGCUGAGGCACGAAGGUCAGGGGAGCAAACGGG